GUGUCCUUGGAGUCAAGUGGCUCACUGUCGCCGAUUUCAUUCCGAGCCACGACUCUGAAGUAGUACUUUCUGCCUGGGAGCAGCCCCGUCACUGUGUACUUGUUGCUGAAGACACGCUCGGCUGCCGUGUACCAGGUGGCAGUGCUUGCAUCCCGCUUCAUGAUGACGUAGUGAGCCUCACCGUCCUCCUGCACAUCUGGGCUGUGGUUCCAGCCAUCUGCCAAGUCCGAUGGACGAUAAGAUGGGACAAGUCUCAGGCAGCUGGUGUCUUGGAGUCGGAAAACUAUUUCUGAAGUCUGCUCUGCCAUUUACUAGCCUUGUGACCUGGGGCCAUACAGACAUCUAGCUGCCCUGCAACACUGUGAAGCAUUUAUUUGUUUUCUCAUCUGUCUCAUUCUACUAGUAUGCAAGACCCUGGAAGGCAAGUCCUGUGUCUUGUUUCUAUAUCCCUAACACCUCCUUUUGAAAUUGCCAUUGCAACAAUUAUAACAGCGAGAAAAUUAUGACAGUGAAUGAGAUCUGAUCUAACCAACCCCCAUCUUGCCUUUAACCUCCAAACUGCCCUUAAUCAUUCCUGGUUUCAGACCAAGCUAACGUUGGGAGAGACAUUUAGUUUAUAGUUUAGAUGAUAAGAGUCCUUCCCCCAAACUAAAUCACCUUUGCGAAGCUAAUGAAAGGCCACCAGGUUAGGAGGAUGUGAGGAGCCUGAAUUCUGCUAAGGUGUAGACAUAAAAGAUUAUCAGUCAUUAUUCCAGAGGUCACAAGAUUUGCAACUCCCCAGCUGCUCCUGCAAAUAACAUCACUAUUGUAGAACCUAAGAUUGGUCGUUGAGAUGUCUUUUCAGGUUUUUGCAUUUCUGACGACUGAUGGCUCCACCUGGACCUGCUGACCCUCCACCCAACAAGUCCUGUGGCCCCACUCAGAAGCAGGCUUCCUGGACUCUGAAUUUUCGGGGAGUUGAUUUGGGUAAUAACUCCGUCUCCCAUACAGCAUGCCUGGCCUUGUGUCCAUUAAACUCUUUGUUGCAA